UUCUUCAACGGAUUAAACAAAAAAAACAAGAAAAAUCGUGUCGUGCUGUUUUUCUUCUAUCUCUCGCAACCGGCACGACGCUCCAAUCAAAAUCUGGCCGGUUCACGCACCAAUCAUCAUCUACAGAGAUCAAACAGACGGAAAAAGGACGUGCUGGUGGGGGGGAUGCGGUCACGCCGGACAAACAAUAAACAACCC